rnacentral:rRNA from 1 species
AACCAGUACCGUGAGGGAAAGGCGAAAAGAACCCCGGAGAGGGGAGUGAAAUAGAACCUGAAACCGUGUACGUACAAGCAGUCGGAGCCUCCAUGUGGGGUGACGGCGUACCUUUUGUAUAAUGGGUCAGCGACUUAAUUUCAGUAGCGAGGUUAACCGUUUAGGGGAGCCGUAGGGAAACCGAGUCUUAAUAGGGCGUUUAGUUGCUGGGAUUAGACCCGAAACCGGGCGAUCUAUCCAUGGGCAGGUUGAAGAUGCGGUAACACGCAUUGGAGGACCGAACCGACUACCGUUGAAAAGUUAGCGGAUGACCUGUGGAUCGGAGUGAAAGGCUAAUCAAGCUCGGAGAUAGCUGGUUCUCCCCGAAAGCUAUUUAGGUAGCGCCUCGGACGAAUACCACUGGGGGUAGAGCACUGUUUCGGCUAGGGGGUCAUCCCGACUUACCAAACCGAUGCAAACUCCGAAUACCAGUGAGUACUAUCCGGGAGACACACGGCGGGUGCUAACGUCCGUCGUGAAGAGGGAAACAACCCAGACCGCCAGCUAAGGUCCCCAAAUUCCAGUUAAGUGGGAAACGAUGUGGGAAGGCUCAGACAGCUAGGAGGUUGGCUUAGAAGCAGCCACCCUUUAAAGAAAGCGUAAUAGCUCACUAGUCGAGUCGGCCUGCGCGGAAGAUGUAACGGGGCUAAGCAAUAUACCGAAGCUGCGGAUACGUGUUUACACGUAUGGUAGGGGAGCGUUGUGUAAGUGGAUGAAGGUGGAUUGAGAAGUCUGCUGGACAUAUCACAAGUGCGAAUGCUGACAUGAGUAACGAUAAUGGGAGUGAAAAACUCCCACGCCGGAAGACCAAGGUUUCCUGUCCCAUGCUAAUCAGGGCAGGGUAAGUCGGCCCCUAAGGCGAGGCAGAAAUGCGUAGUCGAUGGGAAACGGAUUAAUAUUUCCGUACUUAUAUAAUCAGUGAUGGAGGGACGGAGAAGGCUAAGCAAGCUUGGCGUUGGUUGUCCAAGUGAAAGCAAGUAGGCCGAGAAUUUAGGUAAAUCCGGAUUCUUAAAGCUGAGAUGCGAGACGAGCCACUACGGUGGUGAAGUUGUUGAUGCCCUGCUUCCAGGAAAAGCUUCUAAACUUAUGAUUAUAUGAACCGUACCCCAAACCGACACAGGUGGUCAGGUAGAGAAUACUAAGGCGCUUGAGAGAACUCGGGUGAAGGAACUCGGCAAAAUUGUACCGUAACUUCGGGAGAAGGUACGCCCUUGUUUGUGAUAGGACUUGCUCCUUGAGCAGAUGAGGGCCGCAGUGACCAGGUGGCUGGGACUGUUUAUUAAAAACACAGCACUCUGCUAACUCGCAAGAGGACGUAUAGGGUGUGACACCUGCCCGGUGCCGGAAGGUUAAUUGAUGGGGUUAUCUUCGGAGAAGCUCUUGAUCGAAGCCCCGGUAAACGGCGGCCGUAACUAUAACGGUCCUAAGGUAGCGAAAUUCCUUGUCGGGUAAGUUCCGACCUGCACGAAUGGUGUAACCAUGGCCACGCUGUCUCCACCCGAGACUCAGUGAAAUUGAAAUCGCAGUGAAGAUGCUGUGUACCCGCGGCUAGACGGAAAGACCCCGUGAACCUUUACUACAGCUUGGCACUGAACAUUGAACCUACAUGUGUAGGAUAGGUGGGAGGCUUCGAAGCACAGUCGCUAGAUUGUGUGGAGCCGUCCUUGAAAUACCACCCUUGUAUGUUUGAUGUUCUAACAUUGGUCCCUUAUCGGGAUUAUGGACAGUGUCUGGUGGGUAGUUUGACUGGGGCGGUCUCCUCCCAAAUAGUAACGGAGGAGCACGAAGGUUAGCUAAUCACGGUCGGACAUCGUGAGGUUAGUGCAAUGGCAUAAGCUAGCUUAACUGCGAGACAGACACGUCGAGCAGGUACGAAAGUAGGUCAUAGUGAUCCGGUGGUUCUGUAUGGAAGGGCCAUCGCUCAACGGAUAAAAGGUACUCCGGGGAUAACAGGCUGAUACCGCCCAAGAGUUCAUAUCGACGGCGGUGUUUGGCACCUCGAUGUCGGCUCAUCACAUCCUGGGGCUGAAGCCGGUCCCAAGGGUAUGGCUGUUCGCCAUUUAAAGUGGUACGCGAGCUGGGUUUAGAACGUCGUGAGACAGUUCGGUCCCUAUCUGCCGUGGGCGUUUGAGAAUUGAGAGGAGUUGCUCCUAGUACGAGAGGACCGGAGUGAACGAACCGCUGGUGUUCGGGUUGUCAUGCCAAUGGCAUUGCCCGGUAGCUACGUUCGGAACGGAUAACCGCUGAAAGCAUCUAAGCGGGAAGCCGGCCCAAAGAUGAGUCAUCCCUGACUUUUAAAGUCCGGAAGGGUUGUUAUAGACGAUGACGUUGAUAGGCAGGAUGUGGAAGCGUUGUAAGGCGUUAAGCUAACCUGUACUAAUUGCCCGAGAGGCUUAACCAU